rnacentral:rRNA from 1 species
AUGUUUGAGGAAUUUGGCCGCCUACUAAUAGAAGGAACUGCAUACAAUGUUUCUGAAAAAGAAAAUAUGAAAAAAUAUAUAACAACUCACAAUAAUGCAGCCAAACGAGAGAAGUGGUGCAGGGUGGAGUACGAGGUGACAGUUAACGAAGACAAAUCAAUAUUCACGUGCGAGUGUGGACAGUUUGAGCAUACAGGCAUGCUUUGCUGCCAUGCUUUGAGGGUAAGCUGCAUGAAUUUACUGAUGUGA